GUUGUUUGAAGCCCCUCUUGACGAAAAAGAAAUAUUGCUACGAUAUAGCUCUGCUCUUGUUUAAGGUGCUACAAAUGUAUUUUGGUAUGGUUGCAAAUAUAAAAAAACCAUCAUUAUUUAUUGUUAAUUAUUUUGGAACCUCAAUUGUUUUCUGCUAAUAGUUGAGAAUAGUUUGUGGUUCUGCUUCAUUCUUUUUUUCACUUUGAAACUGCCACUGUCUAAAUAAUUGACACUAACUAUCAAUGGAGUCCUGAUCUGGACCCCACCGUGGUAUGUGCAUGGGAUAAAUCACAUUUGGUUGGGAUAGAACCAGGGAAUGCAAGUUGGGAUUGCUUGGCUGGUCAUACGAGGAAUCAAGGAACUAGCUGAGGUCUCCUUCCCUCAAGAUGACAAACAAACAGAAAAAACUACCCUCAAGGUGACCUAAACACAAAGGGAGCUACAUAAUACCCUACAAGACUAGACCAGCACGGUGCACCGCCGUUCUGUCUGUCGCUGGCUAUGCUAAUUGUGCAGUCGACCCCCUUCCAUCCUCAGUGCCCUCCUACCAUCGGCGGCACGGGAUCUCGGUGAUGGAAGGACAGGGGAAGCAUAUGAUCUACUGCAUUUUUGACGACGCAGUGGCGAACAUUGGAGACGGGUUCGUGUGGGAUGCCGACUCCUAGCUCUACUACCACGCCAGGUAGUUGCUUCCUUUCUCUCUAUGUGAUGUAGCGUUCCGCUGAUUGGGCACCGCAGACGGUCUGUGGUUGUGGAUGGGAUUAUCAUUUUGGCAGAAAGCUGGUUGAAGCUCGUGAUGAACUAAUGAAAGGAAGGUUUGCCGCUUGCGUGCGACCUGUCCCCCCUUUCUGUUAAAUUGAUUGAUGGUUGCUUUUCUCACGUAGUUGUUAUUUUCAC